UACAGAGGGGGCAAGCGUUAUUCGGAAUUAUUGGGCGUAAAGGGCGCGUAGGCGGCCUCGCAAGUGGAAGGUGAAAUCCCCCGGCUCAACCGGGGAACGGGCGCCGAUACGACCGUUCUCGAGGGACGUAGGGGGACCUGGAACUUCCGGUGGAGCGGUGAAAUGCGUUGAGAUCGGAAGGAACGCCCGUGGCGAAAGCGAGGUCCUGGACGUCUGCUGACGCUGAGACGCGAAAGCCAGGGGAGCGAACGGG
rnacentral:rRNA from 1 species